rnacentral:Y_RNA from 1 species
GGAUAUUCCCAGUGCAGUGGUGUUUACAACUAAUUGAUCACAACCAGUUACAGAUUCCAGUCCCUUCUCCACUCCCACUGCUUCACUUAACUAGCCUUAA